GAAAAAUAGUAGACAGACUAGUGUGUACAAUAGUGAAAAACGAGGUGCCAGAUGACUCCACCCCCGCCCUGCCUUUCUUUUUAAUGCAGUGUUCCCCUCUUGUCACCCAGGCUGGAGUGCAACGGUGGGAUCUUGGUUUAUUGCAACAUCUGCCUCCUCAGUUCAAGCAAUUGUCCUGCCCCAGAGUCCCCAGGACCAGACGUUGCAGGUGUCCAGGCCACCAUGUCCAGCUAACUUUCUUAGAACUCAGCACGGAGCUCUCCAAGGACCCGUGGGGCUGCCCCUCCACCCCAGCCCCACAGGUUCUUCCCCCUCCUCAGAUGGAGCUGGGGCCAAGCCCCAGACCUGUGUAGCUGCACUUCCUUGGGACAAUUAGCUGCUUCCAGAAAAAGUCCUCAGUUCACACCGAAAGGGGAAAAUGGAAUGAAGACACACCACAGGGGCCAACGACAUUCCCAGCAAGGUUCAAGCAUGACAGCAGCAGAAAGGACACAGGAGACUUUGAUGCCAUGUCCUGGAGACCCUCCAGUGACUAACAAGCCCUCUUUUUCUGCCCAGCUCAAGGACAAUUACUGUGCCAGCAGAAAGUUGGUCUCUUGGUCACAGCUUCCCCAUUAGGAAAACUUUCUUCUCUGUAACACCAAGGGACUGUGACCUCAGGCCUGGAGUGGUGCUUUCUGAGGAAGGCACACAGUGCAGGGUGGAGACUGUGGUGAACUGGAGGUUUUGGUGGGGGUGAGUGGGACAAGAGAGCAGCCUGUGGCCACACUGCCCCGAGGGAGCCCAACCUUAUAGGCUGCCUUCUAAGAAUGUACUGGGGAGUCCGGGAAUGGCAGUUGGUGAUUCCCAGGAUGUAGGGGUCCUCUUGUAUCUGUGUUGGAGAUCAGGGCAGUGUCUUUCAGCAAGAUUAGCAAAGGCUCAGUCCCCUUUGCCACACUCAUUCCUGCUAUUAUCAUGAAACAGUGAGGUCCCCUUUGUCACACUCAUCCCCGCUAUUGCCAUGAAACGCUGAGGUCCCCUUUGUCACACUCAUCCCCGCUAUUGCCAUGAAACAGUGAGAUGCUUUCAAAAGCAUGAUUGGUGUCACCCUAGAGAGAAUAUAAGGAAAAUCAAUAGAAGAAAGCCCCAAACCUCUAAAUAAACACAAGGUAGGGGCUAAUCUUCCCUCCCCC
rnacentral:lncRNA from 13 species